CAGCAUUCCGAAAGCAGUAGAGAACAUGCUGUUCUAACAAACAGGAACACUACUCGGGACUUUUGCAUGGAUAGGAGGAGUGAGUGUAAAGAUUAAAGCAGCAAGUUCCAAAAAGGAUGACGACCUGUAUGCUGUUGGAACACGUAAAUUGGGAAGUAUUGAUGUAAGGCAACACUUUGAACACGCUAAACAACUUGUAGAGUUUGCAGAUCCGUAGAGACGUGAUGCUGGGGUAAGCUGUGAGGUUCUCACGGAGCUUUUAAUGAUGAUUCCAUCCAUCAUCAUUUGUGGGCCAUCUGCUUUUUUUUGCGUAUUUAUUUUAAUCAUGAAAUAUUUUUUCCUGUGCCCAAAUGCACCAGUAGAAUACGCCUCUAUAAAAAGAAAAAGGUGUCAAAUUUUGCAUGUGGAAUUUUUCUUCCGAGUUAGUGAACAAGACACCAAACAAAUGAGCUUUGGUUUUUGGUGGUUAUAUUUUAUCAUGGGUGUAUUUUCUUGAGAACAUAUAAAAAGAAGUAAAGAAAGAGAGGAAACAAUGUCUAACGCCAUGACCUCAGUGUAUGUGUGUGUCUUUCUAAGCCAUCUCUGUACAGCAAAGGUCCAAGCGACUGAUGAGACGCACACUGGCCUUCAGUCGUUCUGUAUCAAAAGUUGGGCUUUACACAAAAAAAGUGACACAUCGUCCAUUAGUCUCUAAUCCAGCGAUACAAACGAGAGUAAAAAGCUGAUUGAUGCA